GGGGUUGUGGCUCAGCAGUAGAGCACUCGCCUAGCAAGUGCGGGGCCCUGGGUUUGAUCCUCAGCAACCACA
rfam:Ictidomys tridecemlineatus contig023719, whole genome shotgun sequence.